GGCUGGCAAUUUUUUACCUCUAUUGUAAUUUUUUUUUUUCAAUUCUGUUCUGUCUUACUUCUAUCCUGCCAUUUCCAUUUCUUUCCUCUGUGCAAAACAAAUUUAACUGGCUAACCUAGUGGAAAAACUGCUCUUCUUUUGAGGAAUUAGUUUGCUGCUGCCGGAACAGACUGAGCAACUCGGCAAGGGACCUCAGGAGUGCCAGUUUGAGGGAGGAGCUGGAUUGUACAGAUAUUGCUUUGUCAGGCCAGGUGUCCUCUUGGUGGUAUUUACUAGCUUGUGCUCAUGGACAAGCAAAGACACUGCCUCUGCUCAAUAAUAAGCAGUAAAAAAAACAUGGUGAAGAAAGAGAAGGAUUUGCCUGUUACAGGAAAUUUUUUUUGAAGAGAGGUCUGUAUACCAAGUACUUAAAACAUCUGCAUGCAAGAUCAUCAUGUAAUUUUGUUUCUGCCCUGCAUAUCUUCUUGCUGAUAUGAACAGAGUCAUUACCUUUUUCUUGAAUGGGCUGUUAUCCAUGUGAUUGAUGGAGGUAACUGGACCAGCCAGUCAAAGGCAUCAGCUGUUUAGGUAAGUCAGGCUUUGAGAUUCUUGAUAAAUAUCAAGAAUCCCCCUUAAAAUGGGAGAGGGUUGGGGGUGAAGAUGAGGAUAGAUAAUUUAGUUGUAUAAUUGUGGUCAGUGGACCAUGUGCACUUAUUUAAGUCUUUAACUGCAGCUCAGAAGCCUGCUGGUCCAUGCAUUUGUCUA